AUGCUCCUACUACUACUACUAACAACAACAAUAUUACUACUAAUAACAUCAACAGCCACAAUAAUACUACUAAUAACAACCACAAUCCUACUACUAACAACAACAAUACUACUACUAAUAACAUCAACAGCCACAAUAAUACUACUAAUAACAACCACAAUCCUCCUACUACUACUAAUAACAACAACAACAAUACUACUAAUAACAACCACAAUCCUACUGCUACUACUAACAACAACAAUACUACUACUAAUAACAUCAACAGCCACAAUAAUACUACUAAUAACAACCACAAUCCUCCUACUACUACUAACAACAACAACACUACUACUACUAAUAACAUCAACAGCCACAAUAAUACUACUAAUAACAACCACAAUCCUACUGCUAACAACAACAACAACAAUACUACUACUAAUAACAUCAACAGCCACAAUAAUACUACUAAUAACAACCACAAUCCUACUGCUACUACUAACAACAACAAUACUACUACUAAUAACAUCAACAGCCACAAUAAUACUACUAAUAACAACCACAAUCCUCCUACUACUACUAACAACAACAACACUACUACUACUAAUAACAUCAACAGCCACAAUAAUACUACUAAUAACAACCACAAUCCUACUGCUAACAACAACAAUACUACUACUAAUAACAUCAACAGCCACAAUAAUACUACUAAUAACAACCACAAUCCUACUACUACUAUCAACAACAUCAACAACAAUACUACUACUAAUAACAUCAACAGCCACAAUAAUACUACUAAUAACAACCACAAUCCUACUGCUACUACUAACAACAACAACAACAACAAUACUACUACUAAUAACAUCAACAGCCACAAUAAUACUACUAAUAACAACCACAAUCCUACUACUAACAACAACAAUAUUACUACUAAUAACAUCAACAGCCACAAUAAUACUACUAAUAACAACCACAAUCCUACUACUAACAACAACAAUAUUACUACUAAUAACAUCAACAGCCACAAUAAUACUACUAAUAACAACCACAAUCCUACUGCUACUACUAACAACAACAAUAAUAUUACUACUAAUAACAUCAACAGCCACAAUAAUACUACUAAUAACAACCACAAUUCUACUGCUACUAAAAAACAACAACAAUACUACUACUACUAACAAUAACAACAACACUACUAAUAAUAGUUGUACUAACAACCACAAUAAUAACAAAAACACAAUAAUUCUACUAAUAACAACAACAAUAAAAGCAAGAACAACAACAAUAAUAUUACUAAUAAUAAUAAUAACAAGAACAACAACCACACUACAACAAUCACUACUACUAAUAAUAACAGUAACAAAAACCCCAACCACAAUAAUACUACUAAUAACAACAACAAUAACAAAAAAAACAAUAAUUCUACUAAUAACAAAAAUAAUAACAACAACCACAAUAAUAAUAAUAAUAAUAAGAAAUAGAAGUAGAAUAAUAAUGAAAGUGAAGCGUGCUUCUGACGUUCGUACGUCAGGCCUGUUUUGUUCCACGUACAGAAUAUAUUUGUGGGCGCCGCUCCAGGCGCGUUUCGGUCUCGGCGUUUACCGGCAUCCACGUCAGGCCGAGGGUUACAGGGGCGUGUGA
ensembl:lncRNA